GACGAACGCUGGCGGCGUGCCUAAUACAUGCAAGUUGAGCGAUGAAGAUUGGUGCUUGCCCCAAUUUGAAGAGCAGCGAACGGGUGAGUAACGCGUGGGGAAUCUGCCUUUGAGGGGGGGACAACAUUUGGAAACGAAUGCUAAUACCGCAUAACAACUUUAAACAUAAGUUUUAAGUUUGAAAGAUGCAAUUGCAUCACUCAAAGAUGAUCCCGCGUUGUAUUAGCUAGUUGGUGAGGUAAAGGCUCACCAAGGCGAUGAUACAUAGCCGACCUGAGAGGGUGAUCGGCCACAUUGGGACUGAGACACGGCCCAAACUCCUACGGGAGGCAGCAGUAGGGAAUCUUCGGCAAUGGACGAAAGUCUGACCGAGCAACGCCGCGUGAGUGAAGAAGGUUUUCGGAUCGUAAAACUCUGUUGGUAGAGAAGAACGUUGGUGAGAGUGGAAAGCUCAUCAAGUGACGGUAACUACCCAGAAAGGGACGGCUAACUACGUG
rnacentral:rRNA from 1 species